rnacentral:rRNA from 1 species
CCUACGGGUGGCUGCAGUGGGGAAUAUUGGACAAUGGGCGAAAGCCUGAUCCAGCCAUGCCGCGUGUGUGAAGAAGGCCUUCGGGUUGUAAAGCACUUUCAGUGGGGAAGAAAGCCUUGGGGCUAAUACCCUCGAGGAAGGACAUCACCCACAGAAGAAGCACCGGCUAACUCCGUGCCAGCAGCCGCGGUAAUACGGAGGGUGCGAGCGUUAAUCGGAAUUACUGGGCGUAAAGCGCGCGUAGGCGGUCUGAUAAGCCGGUUGUGAAAGCCCCGGGCUCAACCUGGGAACGGCAUCCGGAACUACCAGGCUAGAGUGCAGGAGAGGAAGGUAGAAUUCCCGGUGUAGCGGUGAAAUGCGUAGAGAUCGGGAAGAAUACCAGUGGCGAAGGCGGCCUUCUGGACUGACACUGACGCUGAGGUGCGAAAGCGUGGGUAGCAAACAGGAUUAGAUACCCGAGUAGUC